rnacentral:rRNA from 1 species
UGGGGAAUAUUGGACAAUGGGCGAAAGCCUGAUCCAGCCAUGCCGCGUGUGUGAAGAAGGUCUUCGGAUUGUAAAGCACUUUAAGUUGGGAGGAAGGGCAUUAACCUAAUACGUUAGUGUUUUGACGUUACCGACAGAAUAAGCACCGGCUAACUCUGUGCCAGCAGCCGCGGUAAUACAGAGGGUGCAAGCGUUAAUCGGAAUUACUGGGCGUAAAGCGCGCGUAGGUGGUUUGUUAAGUUGGAUGUGAAAGCCCCGGGCUCAACCUGGGAACUGCAUCCAAAACUGGCAAGCUAGAGUACGGUAGAGGGUGGUGGAAUUUUCUGUGUAGCGGUGAAAUGCGUAGAUAUAGGAAGGAACACCAGUGGCGAAGGCGACCACCUGGACUGAUACUGACACUGAGGUGCGAAAGCGUGGGGAGCAAACA